GAAAGGCGAAAAGAACCCCGGCGAGGGGAGUGAAAAAGAACCUGAAACCGUGUACGUACAAGCAGUGGGAGCACCUUCGGGUGUGACUGCGUACCUUUUGUAUAAUGGGUCAGCGACUUAUAUUCUGUAGCAAGGUUAACCGUAUAGGGGAGCCGCAGGGAAACCGAGUCUUAACUGGGCGUUAAGUUGCAGGGUAUAGACCCGAAACCCGGUGAUCUAGCCAUGGGCAGGUUGAAGGUUGGGUAACACUAACUGGAGGACCGAACCGACUAAUGUUGAAAAAUUAGCGGAUGACUUGUGGCUGGGGGUGAAAGGCCAAUCAAACCGGGAGAUAGCUGGUUCUCCCCGAAAGCUAUUUAGGUAGCGCCUCGUGAACUCAUCUUCGGGGGUAGAGCACUGUUUCGGCUAGGGGGUCAUCCCGACUUACCAACCCGAUGCAAACUACGAAUACCGAAGAAUGUUAUCACGGGAGACACACGGCGGGUGCUAACGUCCGUCGUGAAGAGGGAAACAACCCAGACCGCCAGCUAAGGUCCCAAAGUCAUGGUUAAGUGGGAAACGAUGUGGGAAGGCACAGACAGCCAGGAUGUUGGCUUAGAAGCAGCCAUCAUUUAAAGAAAGCGUAAUAGCUCACUGGUCGAGUCGGCCUGCGCGGAAGAUGUAACGGGGCUAAACCAUGCACCGAAGCUGCGGCAGCGACAC
rnacentral:rRNA from 1 species